CGGUCUGGUGGCGAGUGGCGAACGGGUGAGUAAUGUAUCGGAACGUGCCUAGUAGCGGGGGAUAACUACGCGAAAGCGUAGCUAAUACCGCAUACGCCCUACGGGGGAAAGCAGGGGAUCGCAAGACCUUGCACUAUUAGAGCGGCCGAUAUCGGAUUAGCUAGUUGGUGGGGUAACGGCUCACCAAGGCGACGAUCCGUAGCUGGUUUGAGAGGACGACCAGCCACACUGGGACUGAGACACGGCCCAGACUCCUACGGGAGGCAGCAGUGGGGAAUUUUGGACAAUGGGGGAAACCCUGAUCCAGCCAUCCCGCGUGUGCGAUGAAGGCCUUCGGGUUGUAAAGCACUUUUGGCAGGAAAGAAACGUCAUGGGCUAAUACCCCGUGAAACUGACGGUACCUGCAGAAUAAGCACCGGCUAACUACGUGCCAGCAGCCGCGGUAAUACGUAGGGUGCAAGCGUUAAUCGGAAUUACUGGGCGUAAAGCGUGCGCAGGCGGUUCGGAAAGAAAGAUGUGAAAUCCCAGAGCUUAACUUUGGAACUGCAUUUUUAACUACCGAGCUAGAGUGUGUCAGAGGGAGGUGGAAUUCCGCGUGUAGCAGUGAAAUGCGUAGAUAUGCGGAGGAACACCGAUGGCGAAGGCAGCCUC
rnacentral:rRNA from 1 species